UAAUACGGAGGGUGCAAGCGUUAUCCGGAUUUAUUGGGUUUAAAGGGUCCGUAGGCGGACUCGUAAGUCAGUGGUGAAAUCUCACAGCUUAACUGUGAAACUGCCAUUGAUACUGCGGGUCUUGAGUGUUGUUGAAGUAGCUGGAAUAAGUAGUGUAGCGGUGAAAUGCAUAGAUAUUACUUAGAACACCAAUUGCGAAGGCAGGUUACUAAGCAACAACUGACGCUGAUGGACGAAAGCGUGGGGAGCGAACAGGAUUAGAUACCCUGGUAGUCCACGCCGUAAACGAUGCUAACUCGUUUUUGGGCCUUCGGGUUCAGAGACUAAGCGAAAGUGAUAAGUUAGCCACCUGGGGAGUACGUUCGCAAGAAUG
rnacentral:rRNA from 1 species